UACGUAGGGUGCAAGCGUUGUCCGGAAUUACUGGGCGUAAAGCGUGCGCAGGCGGUUUGCUAAGACAGGUGUGAAAUCCCCGGGCUUAACCUGGGAACUGCGCUUGUAACUGGCAAGCUGGAGUGUGGCAGAGGGGGGUGGAAUUCCGCGUGUAGCAGUGAAAUGCGUAGAUAUGCGGAGGAACACCGAUGGCGAAGGCAAUCCCCUGGGCCUGCACUGACGCUCAUGCACGAAAGCGUGGGGAGCAAACAGG
rnacentral:rRNA from 1 species